GCCGUGUAUUUUGUUUAUUUAUUUACAGUUUGUUUCAUUGCGUGCUCUUUACAGCAGACUCACAUCAGAAAAUCAGGCAAGGGUUCCUGCAGGGGCCAUGGGAUGUGGGACAGCUAGGAGCUUAGGUGUGUCUUGGGUCAGCUGAGCCUCUGCAUUGCUGGUUGGCCAUUCUUGGGUCCCUGUUACCCUUCACUCUAGCAGGCUCAGAAGUCUCUGGAUUUGCAGCUCUUCAGGUCACGAUGGAGUCUUGAUUAUCCGUGUGCAAGUGGCCAGAUGGAGACUGAGGCUGGGUGGGCUGGACCUGGCUCACAAUGACUCUGAAGGUUGGUGGAUGAUUGAUACCAGGAUCUGGAGUUCUGGAACUAUGCCAGGGCCUUUGCUGCCUGAGAUGAAGCCCUCUAACACCUUAGCUCACUGCCAUGAGGCUUGAAAGGGGUAAGUGAAGCCCGUUGGCGCCUUCCUUGGAUGUCUUCUCUCACUGGAGUUUGUAUCUCUGAAGCCAGC
rnacentral:lncRNA from 1 species